UCCAUGGGUCCACUAUAUAAUUUAUAUAUGAAGAUACAGGAAUGCCUUUCCUUGUUGCUAACUGUUCGUGAUUCUCUGAAGGAUCUAAAACUUCCAAACUUUACAAGUAAGGACAUGAUAGCAGACUUCUGUUAUCAACAUGCUUCCCUGAUUUUUUGCACUGCUUCUAGUUCAUAUAAGCUGUACUCCGUGGAAAUGGAGCCUCUCAAUUUACUGGUAAUCGAUGAGGCAGCCCAGUUGAAAGAAUGUGAGUCAGUAAUUCCUCUGCGACUCCCUGGUGUCAAGCAUCUGAUUUUAGUUGGAGAUGAGUGUCAGUUGCCUGCUAUGGUUGAAAGCAAGCUUUCUAAUAGAGCUGGUUUUGGAAGGAGUCUGUUUGAACGAUUGAGUUCACUGGGUUAUUCAAGGCAACUUCUCAAUAUACAAUACCGGAUGCAUCCAUCAAUAAGUCUGUUUCCGACUUCAAAAUUUUAUCAAAACCAAAUUUUGGAUGGGCCAAAUGUGAAGAGCAAAAAGUUACAGAAAAGUCAUUUGCCAUGGCCGAUGUUUGGCCCUUACUCGUUCAUAAAUAUUCCUGAUGGACGAGAACAAAUCGGUGAUGACGGCUGUAGCCUUAGAAACCCUGUUGAGGUGGAAGUUAUCUCGAGGAUAGUGAGGAAUCUGUAUAGAGCCUGGGAUGGGUCAGAAGAACAUCUGACAGUAGGUGUCAUAUCUCCCUACGCAGCUCAGGUUGGUGCAGUUCAAGCUAAACUUGGAAAAAUGUAUGAAAAUAUCAAGGGCUUUACGGUCAAGGUGAAGUCAGUGGAUGGAUUCCAAGGUGGUGAAGAAGACAUUGUUAUAAUAUCCACCGUAAGAUCAAACUCAGGUGGGACUAUUGGGUUCUUGUCCAGUACUAAGAGAACCAAUGUUGCUCUUACCAGGGCCAGGUAUUGUCUGUGGAUUCUGGGAAAUGCAAAAACACUGAGAAAAAGCAAAUCUGUGUGGGAAGCUUUGGUUGAGAAUGCUAUGAGCCGUGGAUGUUUCUACAAUGUUGAUGAUGACAAGGACUUGGCUAAAGCCAUCUUAGAUGUGAAGAAAGAGAAUAAUGAGCUUGAUGACCUGCUUGACGGAAGCAGUGUACUUUUCAGAAAUGCUAGGUGGAAGGUUCUUUUCAGUGACAACUUCCUGAAGUCUUUCAGAAAGCUGGCAUCACUCAGGACAAAGAUGUCAAUCAUUAUGCUUCUGUCAAGACUCUCCGGUGGCUGGAGACCAAAGAAGAGAAAUGUGGAUAUAAUUUGUGAACACUCAUCUCAUAUCGUAAGACAAUUUAAAGCUGACGGUUUCUAUGUCAUAUGCACGACUGAUAUUGUAAAGGAACUGAGAUACAUCCAAAUCCUGAAGAUAUGGGAUGUAUUGCCUUUAGAGGAUGUGGUAAAAUUGGUCAAACGUUUGGACAGCAUAUUCGAGACAUAUAGUGAUGAUUUUAUUAGUCAUUGCAAUGAGAAAUGCAUUGAGGGGUAAGUCUGAUCUUUUCUUCUUAUCUUAAGAUAGGUAGCACAUCUCUUACUAAAUUAGAAAGCAUUCUUUUC